rnacentral:rRNA from 1 species
UAUCUCUGUAGAGUCUGCAUAUCAAUAAGCGGAGGAAAAGAAACUAACAAGGAUUCCCUAGUAACGGCGAGUGAAGCGGGAAGAGCUCAAAUUUGAAAUCUUAAAGGGUUUUCCCUUGACGAAUUGUAGUUUAAAGAAGUGUUUUCUGUUGGAGUUUUGGUAAAAGUUCUUUGGAAUAGGACAUCAUAGAGGGUGAGAGUCCCGUAUUUGACCAUUUCUUCCAGCUGUGUGAUACACUUUCAAAGAGUCGGAUUGUUUGGGAAUGCAGUCCAAAAUGGGUGGUAAAUUUCAUCUAAAGCUAAAUAUUGGCGAGAGACCGAUAGCGAACAAGUACCGUGAGGGAAAGAUGAAAAGAACUUUGAAAAGAGAGUUAAACAGUACGUGAAAUUGUCAAAAGGGAAGCGUUUGACACCAGUGUUGUUUUCUCGAAAAUCAAUUAAAAAUGGCCGGAUUUUGUGUUGUAUUGACUUUAUCAGCUUUCUGCACUUUUUUCUUGUCUUUUUUAAUGCACUUUUCGUUUAACAAGUCAACAUCAAUUUCUUUUGUUGUAAAAGAGUCAUUGGAAGGUGGCUUUCACUUCGGUGAAAGUGUUUAUAGCCUUUGACUUCUGCAAUCGGAGAGAUUGAGGUCUGCAGCGUAGAUCCUUCGGGGUUAGAUACAUUUGUGCUAAGUUAUAGUUUUUCAUAGACAACAUGUUGACUAUGAUUAAUCAUGUAGCUUACUCGCUUAUGCUAUUUUACCUACGCUUAGGAUGUUGAACGCGCACAGAGUCUC